ACGAACGCUGGCGGCACGCCUAACACAUGCCAGUCGAACGAUUGCCUUCGGGUGAUAGUGGCGCACGGGUGCGUAACGCGUGGGAAUCUGCCCUUAGGUUCGGAAUAACAGCUGGAAACGGCUGCUAAUACCGGAUGAUAUCGCGAGAUCAAAGAUUUAUCGCCUGAGGAUGAGCCCGCGUUGGAUUAGGUAGUUGGUGGGGUAAAGGCCUACCAAGCCGACGAUCCAUAGCUGGUCUGAGAGGAUGAUCAGCCACACUGGGACUGAGACACGGCCCAGACUCCUACGGGAGGCAGCAGUGGGGAAUAUUGGACAAUGGGCGCAAGCCUGAUCCAGCAAUGCCGCGUGAGUGAUGAAGGCCCUAGGGUUGUAAAGCUCUUUUACCCGGGAAGAUAAUGACUGUACCGGGAGAAUAAGCCCCGGCUAACUCCGUG
rnacentral:rRNA from 1 species